UAUCUUUCUUUUUAUAGAUUUUGAAUUUGUCUUCCAUCUUAUAUCUCAUCCAUGUGAUUCAUCACAUAGGAAUAUUUGUUGAGGUGUGUUUCAACAUUCAACCAAAUGCAUAUUUGAAUUGGGUCCCCCACUUCACUAAUAAGAAUUAACAUGUCACUUCAUGUGAUUGUUGUUUUGCAUAAACGUAAUCUCAGUUUAAGAUGAAUCUUUUCUUGAGUCACCUUCCAAAUCAUUGUUAGCACUUAGCAACCUUUGUACUUGCAUCAAAUAAAACUCAUAUGACAUGAAAAUUCUGCUAGUUCCCCAAAACAACGGAACAUAACAAUUAGGUCCAAAUUGUUCCAGCAUUCAUGCAGGUUGAACUGGACAAGAUAUUGUCUCAUUUUUGUUUAAGAUGCCCUUUUGUAGGGAUUGUAGUUUCUUCAAAUUUAGUUAUCUGGUGAUCUCGUGCAUUAUUUGUGAAAUUCAUUUAUGUUUGGAGCUCUUGAACUUGUCCCUGUAUUGAGGUCUGCUCUUCAAACUAACAAACUUUUUGGGAGAGGUGCAACUAUGCAAUGGAAGACCCUAACAGCCUCACUAUUCUUCAAGCUACUAUCAAACCAUUCCAGUUUUAUGUUCUAUGAUGUGACUCAUUGUUUCUAAUGGCCAAUCUCAAUACGGAUUGUGACAUACAUGACCAGAUUGAUUUCAAGUUAAUUAAAUCUUGGUAAUGCAAAUUCCAGAAUAUUGUCUUAUAGCAUGUUAAUCAUAUUUCUAUCUCGAACUCUAAUUUACAUGGGGAACAUAAUGUCUUUAGAUUUAGGAAAUGGGAUGAAGGGGCUGUGUUCAAGUGUAAAGAGGAGGGUAGGUAGUUAUAGUUGAGUUGACUGCUUGGUUGCUUGAGAACUUUCAAGCCUGGUUAGGGAGUGAGGUACUGCUUGCUCUGAUCACCAUGAUUUGACAUUCAUUCGGGGAAGUCUGAAAUAGGUGGACGGAUGAUUUGUGGGAAUGGAAAGAUGCUUUUUUCUUUUUGGUGGUGGAAGUUGGUGGAAACGGAAGGGACAAUAAGGUUGCAAGGGUAGUGAACCAAAAGGCUAGGUUGUGGAUGGUAAGGUUGGGGAAUGCUGCAGGUUGAGUGGAAGGAAAGGCUACGUUGUGGUUGGGGAGAUUUUGACAAUUUUUAUUAUUUAUAUUUCUUUUUAUAGCUUUUGAAUUUGUCUUCCAUCUUAUGUCUCAUCCGUGUGAUUCAUCACAUAGGAAUAUUUGUUGAGGCCUGUUUCAACAUUCAAACACAUGCAUAUGGGAAUUGGGUCCCUCACUUAACUAAUAAGAUUGAACAUGUCACUUCAUGUGAAUUGUUGUUUUACGUAAACUUAAUCUCAGUUUAAGAUGAAUCUUCUCUUGAGUCACCUUCCAAAUCAUUGUUAGCACUUACAGCCUUUGUACUUGCAUCAAAUAUUACUCACAUGACAUGACAAUUUUGCUAGCUCCCAAAACAAAGGAGCACAGUAAUUAGGUCCGAAUUGUUUCAGCAUUCAUGCAGGUUGAACUGGACAAUAUAUCGUGUCUCAUUUUUGUCUAAGAUGCCCUUUUGUAGGGAUUGCAGUUUCUUCAAAUUUAGUUAUCUCGUGCAUUAUUUGUAAAAUUCAUUUAUGUUUGGAGCUCAAUUUUACCAAACUUGUACCUUAAUUGAGGUUUGCUCUUCAAACUAGCAAACGUUUUGGGAGAGGUUCAACUAUGCAGUGGAAGACCCUAAACAGCCUCACUAUUCUUCAAUCUACUAUCAAACCAUUCCAGUUUUAUGUUUUAUGAUGUGACUCAAUGUUUCUAAUGGGCAAUCUCAAUACAGAUUGUGACAUACAUGACCAGAUUGAUUUCAAGUUAAUUAAACCCUGGUAGUGCAAAUUCCAUAAUAUUGUCUUAUAGCAUGUUAAUCAUAUUUCUAUCUCGAACUCUAAUUAACGUGGGGAACAUAAUGUCUUCUGGUUUAGUGAAUGGGAUGAAAGGGAUGUGGUCUAGUGUAAAGAGGGUAGGUAGUGAUAGUUGAGUUGACCCAUGGUUGCUUGAGAAUUUUCGAGCCUGGUCAUGGAGUGAGGUACCUUCUUGGAUCACCAUGAUUUGACAUUCAUUCUGGGAGGUCUGAAAUAGGUGGACGGAUGAUAUGUGGGAAUGGAAAGAUGCAUUUUUCUUUUUGGUGGUGGAAGUUGUUGGAGGAAGGGACAGUGAGGCUUCAAGGGUAGUGAACCAAAUGGCUAGGUUGUGGAUGGUAAGGUUGGGGAAUGCUGCAGGUUAGGUGGGAGGAAAGGCUAGGUUGUGGUUGGGGAGAUUUUACAAUUUUUAUUAUUUAUAUUUCUUUUUAUAGCUUUUGAAUUUGUCUUCCAUCUCAUGUCACACCGGUGUGAUUCAUCACAUAGGAAUAUCUGUUGAGGCAUGUUUCAACAUUCAACCAAAUGCAUAUGGGAAUGGGGUCCCUCACUUCACUAAUAAAAAUUAACAUGUCACUUCAUGUGAAUUGUUGUUUUAUGUAAACUUAAUCUCAGUUUAAGAUGAAUCUUCUCUUGAAUCACCUUCUAAAUCAUUGUUAGCACUUAGCAGCCUUUGUAUUUGCAUCAAAUAAAACUCACAUGACAUGAAAAUUCUGCUAGCUCCCCAAAACAAAGGAACAUAGUAAUUAGGUCCAAAUUGUUCCAGCAUUCAUGCAGGUUGAACUGGACAAGAUAUCGUCUCUUCGAACUUGUACCUGAAUUGAGGUCCGCUCUUCAAACUAGCAAACGUUUUGGGAGAGGUGCAACUAUGCAGUGGAAGACCUUAAACAGCCUCACUAUUCUUCAAGCUACUAUCAAAUCAUUCCAGUUUUAUGUUCUAUGAUGUGACUAAAUGUUUCUAAUGGGCAAUCUCAAUAUGGUUUGUGACAUACAUGCCUAGAUUGAUUGCAAGUUAAUUAAACCUUGGUAAUGCAAAUUCCAGAAUAUUGUCUUAUAGCAUGUUAAUCAUAUUUCUAUCUCGAACUCUAAUUUAUGAGGGGAACACAAUAUCUUUUGAUUUAGGAAAUUGGACGAAGGGGUUGUGGUCAAGAGGAAAGAGGAGGGUAGGUAGUGAUAGUGGAGUUGACUGCAUGGUUG
rnacentral:lncRNA from 1 species